AAUACUUCUGUGUAAUGCGAUGAGAGGACGGAGAAAGUUAAGUCAGCCUGGCGUUGGUUGUCCAGGUGAAAGGCAGUAGGCAUGCAUCUUAGGCAAAUCCGGGGUGCUCUAUGCUGAGAGCUGAUAGCAAGCUAGUUUACUAGCGAAGUGGCUGAUACUAURCUUCCAGGAAAAGUCUCUAAGCUUCAGUUACACAGGAAUCG
rnacentral:rRNA from 1 species